CUUUGCCAGGAGACACAGCUGAAUUCCCCUCCAUUUCAGCAAGACUCCCGAGAACACACCCUCAGACACUAUCACAGGCCACCUACCCACACCUGUGAGAUGGGCUACUCAAACACUGUUGCAUCUGCGACUGGUUCAAAGCAGCCAGCCCUAGCCUUGUAGAGCAACUAGAAGCAAACAUCCAAGGCACCUUUAAGACAACCUGACUCUGUGUUAUAUUCUUACUGACUCUAAUCUGAUUGAGGGUUGCUGUGUGUUUCCCAGCCUGCAGGACCAGAAUCCAGAAGUAUUCUCUCCUGACGUUUCGCCCACAUCUACGCACUUUCUUCUGGUGAGCUGAAAGGAAAAGGAACAGAGAAAGCAAGCAAGCAAGCAAGCAGGCUCCGAUCCUAAGAACUCUUCAUAAAAAGCAUGUCAUUGUUAUGACCCAGGAGAAGGUCGGAGAAGGUGAAAUGGAAACCUGAUCAUCUCCUACAAACUAAAAUCCAUUUCUUAUAAUAACCAAGAAGAUACAAUGUGAAAAAUGUAUGGCAAGCAGAGUAAGGAAGAAAUCCUUUGCAGUUCAGAAAAAUUGUUUGCCAAAGAGAUGAAUGUUGAAGGCUAAGGCUGGUGCCUCUAGCCCCUAGAAAAUUUGAAGAGAAAAAAGUGUCCUUUUGAGUACAGGUAUUCCAGAUGAAUUUUGCCUGCAUCACUUAUGAGGAAAAUGCUUCAUAACUUUGCCAAGAAGACCAUGAAGAAAUGAUCCAAGAUUUCCAUGUAAUCAGUGACAGACCAGAAACCUGACCUAACACAACAAAUCAACACUAUCACCACAGUCCACUUGCAAGAAAGGAGCCGAAGAAGAAGCAAUUAUAUAAGGAGUAUUAUCACAUAAUUUGAAGACUGAAAAAUUUCAAUUGUCUUUCUGGGAUAGAAGUGCUUCCUUGGUUGUUGUUCUGUACUGUUUUAAUUUGGGUCACUCCUCUCACCAGAACUGACUCAGAAGGGAAUACUGCUAAUGAACUUAGAUGCCACCUUUCUGUAAGAAAUGCCUCCAUUGCCUUUGUGUUCUUUCUUUUUAAGUUUCAUAGAAAUACAUUGCUCUGAGCUAUAACUUGAUCUGUUAUUGAUUUCUAAGGCAGAUGGAUUUGGUCUUUCAACCCCUUGUGUGAACGCAAUCUCAGGGGUUGUUAGUUAGUCUGGGACUUUGCCAUAUGUCUUUGUCUAAAUAGAUUUAGAUGUCAGAAAAUAGAAAGAAAUCUCAGUAAAAACAUUCAACAAAAUAAAAGAUCAAUUGCUUUUUUACAGUUUCAUUCUCCAAAUGCACUUAUAAUGCAUUACAGGGGCAAAAAUAAAAUCCAUAUAGACAUAACAAACAAUACUAGUUGUGGAAACUGAAUCCAUAAAAGCACUUACACUUUAUCCUGUAUUUCCCAUUAUUUGAAUAUUUGUACCGAUAUUUCAUUAGGAAGGAGUUGAAUUAAAAUAAAGAAGUUCAGCACUAUUUUAAAAGUUAUAUAUACAUGAAUUGGACCAACAAUUUUCAUCUUAUAAAAAAGAAAUGGGCACAUACACGCAUAUGCUUUAUACAUAUUUUAACAGUUUUAUUUGUAUUUUAAGCAUCCUAAGACAGACAUCAAGAAUGCCAGGUCAAGAGUAUACAUAGUAAAUAGUUGACAUAUUAGUGGUACAAAUGUACUUUUAAGAUUCUACUAAAAUCCAGAACACCGGAGUAUCUUUACAGGUCCUUUCAUAAAGUCUAGUAUAAUUACUAGGUAUGUGCAAUCCAUUUUAAAAAGUUCUAAACUGUGUUCAAAAGUAGGGAGCACUGAAGCUUCGUUUCUAAAGUUCUUUCUUAAUUUUGGGGGGGAAAAAUAGAACUUAACAAAUCUUCAUAAGUACUUUGUUAAUGGCAGUCGCGCAUACUAUGCGCAAUAGGGAAAACAUCACUAGCAGUGGGGAAGACUCGGGGACAUCUCUCUCCCUCAUUUUUGAGCUAUCGGGAUAAAACUUGCUAUAGUGGUAGAAUACAUUUACCACUGUUAGCCCACCAAAUUUCAGAAUGUUUGACAUAUCCAUAGAUCUCAGAGAAGAGCUGCUUGGCAAGGACUCACCCAAGCAGCCUUGAGGGCAUACCUGGUGGAUGUGACCAGAUUACCACGUUCAGGCUAGAAGCAGGCUAUAGCAGCAACUGACUGUUGGUGUAGGAACAGGUUGCGCAUUUCCUGGCAUACCAAAGGAGGUCCAACAUAUCUACUCAUGCCAUGAGGCUUCACCUGGCAGGGAUUUCAUUUUUAGCUAGACUACUCGUGUCAGGUUUUCAGGAUGAGGAACCUAUUAAAGGAUUGGAGCAACAAGUUGCCAUUCAAUUUUUCUCUGUUGGGAGUUAUUGGGCUACCACUAUCAGGUUUGGUAGUGUGGGGGGUCUCCCUCUCCCUUUGUGGAGUUUGGCAUGGGCCCUGGAUCCUGUUUGUGUACCUCCUCCCCAGGAGGGGGGGAGCAUCCAUGGGUGUAUGAGGGGUGUGGCAGUACUAGUGUCCCGAGACAAAACUGGUUGGAUAACUGUCUGGGACCCCUACCAGUGUUUGGUGGAAACUGUCAGUAGCGGGCUGUCCGAUUCAUGAUCAAGAACCCAUGCAUGGCUGCCAACCCUGUUUGCAUUGUAACUAAUAAACAAGUUUUGGCAUUUGAUUAUCCCAACACCAUGAGUUCAUCUAUUUGUAAAGGGAGACUAGGUGGAGGAUGGUCAUCCCUGACCACACAAGGAGGGGGGACCCCCAUGCACAGGCGGCUGCUCUUCUCACAUGGCAGCCAAAUACAGCCGAAGAUCGGCCACAUGUGCCCCAAUUAUUGCCUGUCUCCAGCUGCCCCUGUCCACCUCAUCUCCAGGAAUUCAGCUGCCAAUUUAGCUGAAUGCCCUGAAUACAGAACACCAAACCAAUACUGAGCACACCCCUAAUUAUAACACCAAACUCAAUUCUGCAGAAUACAGAAUCAAGAUUCAAGAUGACCUUAGCACAUUGUAGAACUGGUCCAAAGGUCACAAAAUGUAUUUUAACACAGACAAAUUCAGAAUACUCCCUCUAAAUAAAGAAAAUAUCUGAUGAAAGAAUAUAGAAUAUGUGAUACCUUGCUUCAAAACAAUCUAGGUGACCUCAAACUAAAUAUGAAUCAGAGGUCUGAUGUAGCAGUAAAAACCUGGGGAAAGGCAAUUCUAGAUUGCAUGAAAAACAUACAGUGUCUAGAGAAUGUGGGGGAAAGCUGGGGAAAGUGGAGGGAACUUAUAUAGCAACAUUUUGCUGAUGUUGUCCCAAAGUUGUAAAUGAAUGAUAGACGUCUUCCAUCCUGGAAUAUCCUCAGUUUCCUGGACCAGAUGUUGAUUCCUCUUGAUUGGUGUUAGCAAACACAAGUAGCUCUGCCCCAAAAGUUCAUCAAGUCAGCAAAUGUUGACAGAUGUUAACAGAUGUAAACAUUUCUCUUAUCAUUCAUAGUUCUUAUCACUGUUUACCAGGCAGGUCAACUAUUUCAGGUCUUAUUAGCAGGUUUUAAUUACAAUUCCUGAGCAGGUAGUUAAUGGUUUGCAGGCCUUAAUAUUAGAAUUAUGUCUCCAAAAUUUAGCUCUCUUUCAUUCAUCCAUUCAU